UUGGGAAGUCUCUGGAAUCAGGAAACGGGCAAUGGCCCACAGAUCUUUUAAUGAAGUAGGCAGAGGCUUAUUCAUCAAGAGUAAGUGAUGGUGACUGCAAACAACAAAGGUAACAAUUAAGAUUUAUCCAACUGCUUUACUUCUGGCAGUCAGACACGGAGGGUUCCUGCAGCACAUCCUGGGUGUGUUUGUACUUUGAAGACAACUCAGGAGGGUCAACAGGUGCUUUAGUUUCUGUCCAGCCCUCGGACUCGUGAUGACCAACCCCGCAGUCAGCGCAGGGACAGAGAGGCCGGUGCUGUCACACAGGGGAGACGGCAGAACCUGCAACAACAGCCUGGAGUCACUCGUGCCUUUUACAGACCUUCGGUUCCACAGAGCAGCGAGGCGGGAUGGUUCACCCUGUAAGGACAUCAUGGACCGCACAGCACUCAGUGAACCCAGCGGGGUGUAAAUGCUGCCUCGGGAACGCGGCACCGCCCGCGCCGGCUAAGCUCCAGCGCAGAGCCGAGGGGUCUGACCGGACAAGGGACCUGACCUGACAAGGUAUCUGACCGUGCAAGGGCCGCGCAUCACCAGCCCUGCCCUGCCCGCCUGCGCCUCUCCCGGCAGGAACAUCCCGAAGGACCUGCACGGCGGGGCUGUGGGUGCCCCGGGGAGGACGGAGGGAGUUUGUUCAUCGCCCUCCAUCUCCCAGAAGAGAGGGAAGGGGCUCUGAGGCAGAGCACCGGGGAGCCCACCUCGGGACUGCCCGCCUCCCCUGCGGCCCCCCGGCCCCUCCGCGCACCACCAGCCGUGUCCCGCACCGCCCCGCACCCGCGGACCCCGCAGGGUGUCCCACGGCCCCGCCCCGCACACCCCGACCGACCCCGCACACCCUCACGAACCCCGCACACCCUGUACCACCCCCGCAUACCCUGACUGACCCCGCACACCCUGACUGACCCCGCACACCCUGUUCCACCCCCGCACACCGUGACUGACCCCGCACACCCUGUACCACCCCCGCACACCCUGACUGACCCCGCACACCCUGUGCCAUCCCCGCUCCCAUCGGGUUCCCCCGCCCCGCCCCUCCGGCGGCCCCGCCCCACCGGGCGCUCGGCGAUACCAUUCCCCUCCCACGGGGGGGGGGGGGGCGUCCUUCUAUUUUUAUUUUUAUUUUUGUUAUUUGUUUUCUGCAAAGGCUAGCAACAGAAGUCCCCAUUUAUCUCAACUGCGAUCCAUGUCACAGUUUUGGGACCUUCACUGUAUGCAGAUAAAGGUAAUUUUUUCCCGAUUGAAAGGCAUAGAAAGAUGGAGCUGUGGAUAGAAGAUAAUGCAGAGCAGAUCAACAGUGUGGACUAGCGAGGGAUAUAAAGGGAAAUCCGGGCAGAGCUCCUCUCCAGAACACUUUUACACACUUGUUCUCAUCAAGCAAGGCUUUUCAUGAUAACAUAGAAAGCUCUGAGUAAAAACACAGAUAAAAUAAACAAGAAAAUCCUUUUUUAAAGGAGAGCUGUGCUCUGGGGAAUAAAAAAAAAAAAAAAAAAGGCAAAAAAACCAAA